GUAGGAAUAUUGGACAAUGGGCGCAAGCCUGAUCCAGCCAUGCCGCGUGAGUGAUGAAGGCCUUCGGGUUGUAAAGCUCUUUAGUCCACGAAUAUAAUGACUGUAGUGGAAGAAUAAGCCCCGGCUUACUUCGGGCCAGCCGCCGCGGUAAUACGAAGGGGGCGAGCGUUAUUCGGAAUCACUGGGCGUAAAGCGUGCGUAGGCUGUUUUGUAAGUCAGAAGUGAAAGCCCAGGGCUUAACCCUGGAAUUGCUUUUGAAACUACAAGACUCGAAUUCGGGAGAGGAUAGCGGAAUUGUCAGUGUAGCAGUGAAAUGCGUAGAUAUUGACAGGAACACCAGUGGCGCAAGCGGCUAUCUGGACCGAUAUUGACGCUGAGGCACGAAAGCGUGGGGAGCAAACAGGAUUAGAAACCCCAGUAGUCC
rnacentral:rRNA from 1 species